GGUAGUUUUUGAGAGAAUUUGUGAUGGAGUUUUGGCGGGCAGGCGUGAAUUACCAGAAGAUUUUUUGUGUAGAAAGUUAUGAGAAAGCCAGGAAAAAAGCCAAGGCAAUUGAAGAGGACACUUAAUUUUUCAGUGAUCCAGAAAGACAGCUUGAAAGGGGAGAUCAUUGUAGAAGACCAAACAAGAGAUUGGAGGAGUUGGGCCAUGGCUGUGGUAGUGUAGCUGUAAAAAAAAGACGUCCAUCCCUACCCAAACCUCCUCCUCGUUCAGUCUUGACCUCUACUCCCGAACACACUUCAUCCUCUUCUGAACAACCUCCUUCUUCUACUGCUGCAUGUUCAGAGUCUCCUCAGCCGACGUUAUUCAACCUCAGUGCUCAUUACAGGUCUGGUUGCAAAUUGUUUGUUACAAAGUAAUCCCAUACCAUAAUGCACAAGAGUACACACAGAAAAAUAAAGGUGCUAACUGGAACCGAAAAUGGUUCUUUAGAGUGAUGCCAUAGAAGAACCAUUUUUGGUUCCAUAAAGAACCUUUCAAACCAAGGUUCUUUAAAGAACCAUUUCCUUAAAUGUUCUUUAAGGAACCCACAAAAGUGCCACGAAGAACCAUCAAAAAUGGUUCUUCGGGGUACCUUUUCUGGUUCUUUGAAGAACUUAAAGGGAAAAAGGUUCUUUAUAGAACCCUUCUCAAAAACGUUCUUUGUGGGCCCAGAUGGUUCAAUAAAGAACCCUUUUCAAAUGGUUCUUUAGUUAAAAAUGGUUCUUCUAAUAAUGUUAUUAUUUAACAUUGCAAUAUUGUGUAAAGCCGAGAAAGAAAUGCGAAUAGAAGUUGAUUUUCCAUUUUAUUUAUUUAGAAACUGAACGAAAGUCCUAAUAUCAUACAAUGUGCUUUUUAAGAAAUAUUCAGGGCAUUGGCAACUCUCUGCACAGCUAUUGGUACACGUGUUGUUAAAGUGUCAAGCUUCAGAAUAAACAUCUCUAAAAAUAAAAACAUUUAAAGCUUAAAGUUUAAAGCUGACAGGGAUAUGCAAUGUUGUAGACAUGAUAGAGGGCCAACAAAACAGCCAUGGCCAAAGAAAUGUCUGUCUCUCCAUUGUCCGCUGUCAUUUUGUGACCAUCCAUCAUGACAGUAACAUCUGUGCUGUCACUCAGGGGCUUGCCAUCAAUGCUGCUCAAGAUGAUCGUAGGUGUUGGGCUUAUCGGUUCCUGAAACAAAACAUUUGGGUCUUAAAUCUGUAUUCUGUAAACCUGUCAUGUUUACAAAUCAUAAUUACAAAUCACAGCUUUCUCCUAUGUUUAGUUGCAUACAAAAUCCCAGUUUGUUAACAACAAAAUUACUUAAUACAUUAGAUGUAUUUUUUUGUGGGACAUAGCAGUGGUAUUUGUCCUGUAAUUGAAAAUGCACUUAAUAUCUAAUUAUUUCUAAAUUCACAUUUCCUAUCUCGCAAAAUAGCGGUAUGGGCAACAAUGGUCUCUAAAAAGAAUUUGACUUUGGUAAUAUGGAACUUGUUUGGAUUUUCCAAAACCGACACAAUGCAAACAGAAAUUUACAAAAAAUAAGGUUCACCUAAAUAAUGUGUUUUUUUCUAUUUAGAUUUUGUUACCUUAGAUGGCCAAUUUUUUUAUUGGGGAAUUUGUUUGGUUGUACUGUUCAGUAACUUGCAAAAGUCUUAACUGACAUAAAAAAGAAUCAUGAUAAGAUCAUAGGUUGUGAUCCUGCAUGAAAAAAAAAAAUGUGAUGAAACCUUUCCCAUGUUGCCCAAACCUACAGCAUAUAUAAAAAUCUAAUAUCAGGCAAAACAUUGAAGUACACAUUUCGCAUUUUCAAAAGAACAAAUUCAAGACUGUCCACCACAAGCACAAAAUGACUAACCUUAUCUAUUACAAACAGCUGGGAUGUGUUUUCCUUGAAGAUGGAUGGUAGGAGGAGUAUAACUGCAUUCACCAAUUGGCCUGUAAAUCACAAAUAAUUUAACAAAAAUUCAGCAAAGUUUUGAAACACUCAUACCAAUCUGAAAUGAAUGUGGCUUAAAGACCUAAAACAGAUUAAGUGAAAUCUGAAAUAAAUAAGGGGAACUUCUUAUCCUAAUUACAUGCUACCAUCAAAAGGAAAACACUGGAUAUAAACCACAAAUACUUGUAAUACAAUGUGGUAGAAUUACCUAAAACAAUUAAUUAUAAUAGCUUCAUGAGGCUUAAUGACCUUAAAGUAAGGUGCAAUGGGAAAAAAUUGCAUUAUUUAUUCUGCUGCUGUUGCUUAUUAUUUAACAUGAAGCCCCGUUAACAACCACAGCGUCUGUACAGUUAACCCACAUAUGUUCUUCACUAUCUAAUUUAAGGUGUACUUGAUCGUAAGACCAUGAAUUUGAUUAACUUGACUUGGCACUUAGACAACAAAAGUAACAGUGGAAGGAGGGCUGAUGACCUAAUUAAUAGGGUUAAACAGACUACCUUAGACUAGCAACAGUUCUUUCAGAUACAAUGAGAAAUAUUGUACUCUGGUAGAUUUAACUAUCCUCCUAUCUGAUUUAGUCUUUCAGUGUAUUAUAAGAGACUUGUGUAGCUUACCAUUUCGUUCAGUAUCAGUCUGGCUCUCAUCAACAGACUGCAGGCAAAGCCUCUUCAGGUUGCUUUCAGGUGCCAUGGACACAAGCUGGCUUGCCAGCUUAUUGAACCCUUUGAUGACCUGCUUGUCCACAUCAAUCUUAAGGAAGUGCUGAUGCUUCUUCACACAGCUGAAACAAAACAUGCAGUUUAAAUGAAUUAAUGCUAUUGGUGUUUUGAAGCAAAUAUGGGACAAAUUAUUUAUUCUAUUCAAUGCAAAGUGCAGAAUUACAUAUGUACUAAACUGAUGCACAUUAACAUCUUAACUCACCAAGACUGGAAUAGAAAAGAAGGGGAAUUCUUGUAAGACCUCUGCAGUGGUGUGCUGUUGAAUAUAGUAUCUUCUGUACCUUUGUACUCUGUGGAGGCACUGGCGAAUGAUGUCCAAAUUGGGCCUCAUCUUUUGGCACUCCUGCUUUAUUGCUGCAAUAUGGUGGUUACAACUCCUUUGGUCCUUUAUAUAUAUUUGGUCCUUUAUAUAUAUUUGUAAAAUUAUAAUUUAAAUUAUUUAAAUGAUACCAACAACCAUUAAAAUUAUCAGUUAUAGUCACCCAUCAAACUCAGUGGUAGGGCUCUAAACAAAACCUAAUUGGUUACAUUGCAAACUAUAGUCACAACAGAUCGUUCUCACCUAAUCAAUUUAAUUCUUAUUUAUAGCCAAGGUUUGUCUGUUCCGUCCUGGGGACGUAUUGCACUAAUUUACUAAUUUGCAGAUCUUAACCGUUUGCUAACAAUGGUGUUUCGGGUGACCAAAUAAUCCAUGUCAUCCCAGACACUUUGAGCUUGAACAGGAUUUGUAAACUACUAUUUCAAUUAAAAGGACCUGGAUUUCACUUGAGCGCUGAAUUCUUGCUGAGUCUCCUGUAACCAUGCAUGUGUUAGCUACUUAAUGUUAAUGUGAAACAGGCUGGAUAAGUCUUUCAAUCAAGGAAACAAACCAGUUAAGCACAAGAAGAAAUGAACUAAUUAGUCGAGCACAGGAGCUUUUCGGUUUUAAAGCAGUUUGGAAAAACCCGAAGUUUGCGUCCGGGAUAGGCUCUGGAUCCCCCGCGACCCUGUAUAGGAUAAGCGGUUUCAGAUGAUGGAUGGAUGGAUAACCCGAAGUAGCUCUAAGUGUCCGGGAUGAUAUGGAUUAUCACCCUAAUAGUAUUUAUUUUAAAUAAAAAUCCUUCAGUAAACAACCGUCACAGCAAUUGAGCGUUUAAAGCAGAAAACCCUGAAUCAUGGAAUAAAUUUCCUCCAUACGAUUGGCCACAGACCCUCACAUAAAAUAAAAUAAAAAAACUUCAACUACUUUGAAGUUCUUAUUGGUAGUCAUACGGGAAAAAAAACUCCCUAUCGUCAAAUUAGUAAAAUCGUUCGGAAUGUCAAAAAAUUACUCGUGGGACUUUUUUUUAAUCCGAUCCUCAUAGUUCAUUUUAAAUUGCCUUCUGAUGGUUAAAUUAUUCCAAAACAUUUUUCCCCAUUUAAAAAAUUACCUUACUGCUCUUGUACUGUAACUGCUCCCGAUCGUCUUCUGAGAAAAAACCUCGUAACCCCCUCGCACGAGCCGCACUCUACCAGGACUCGUCAGCCGCAUGCGCAUGCGCAGGUUGUGGAAGCCACAAAACCAUAGGGAUUUUACUCUGAUAUUUCGGACAAAAAUUAAAAUUAAAAAUGUAUUUUAAGAAAACAAUUACAACGACACUAAAAGUAUCAUACUGAAUUAUACAUGGGAUUCUCAAGUAGCAAGACUACAAUAGUAUUUUCUUGUAAAAUGUACUUUCAUGAUCUUCGUUGUAUUUACAAAUUCAGAAAAAUCUUCAUCUUCUCCUUUUCAGUGCAGCUUAUGGAGAGGGACAAUUAUUUUGCAAAUUUAUACCCCCACCAUCACCACCAUCCAAUAACUCAAAUAAGAAUUAAGAACCCUUCAAUAUCCCAAAGAACCAUAUGACUAACACGUAGAACCAUCCACUACAUAAAAUGGUUCUUUAGUAGGUUAUGGUUCUUUAUGGAACCACACAGACUUCUAAAGAACCAUUAUUUUUCUGUGUGUACUUGUGCAGGCCUGGUCACCAGACGCUCGCCAUCGAACCCCACCCCCUAGGCUCCUGCGUCCUGGCGAGGGAAAACGUGAAUCAAUGUUUUUACUCAUCAUAAGGGGUCUGGUGAGCCGCACUUCGUCUGGUUCCUCACCCAGGACCUGUUUGCCUUGGGUGACCCUACCAGUAGCUUAAAGCCCUGGGCAACUUAGCUCCUGGGAUCAUUGUAACACGCAAACCCCUCCACCACGAUAAGGUUUCUGGUCCAGGAGAGGUUGCACCAGGAGAGGUUGCAGGAACUGACUGUCUACCUGGGAACUGUUGGAGGUGGAGAUGUAGCAUGUACAACCAGGCGUGUGAUGUCGGCUCUCAUGACCAAUGAGCUACCUAUACAGUUAAACUGGAUGGGCCAUGGAGAAUAAACAAAGCUUUUGAAGCCUAAAACUUCAAAAAAAGUUGUCUGCGGUUCAAUGACAGAGACGAACCAGCGAUGGAUGGUGAGCAUCGAAAAAUCGGUGCUGUGUGAAGGAACGUCCUUUGUGCUUGGACUUGUUGGAGUCUUCUCCUCCUACAAUUUCAACCUUCAGUACCCACAUGAUGCAGCAUGCACACUGGAGUUCAUUCAGAGCACCUGCUCCUCAUCUGACCUGGUCACUAUGUGGUCGCUGAAAGAGAGCCAGCCCUUCUCUUCCACGCUGAAGGUGUCGCUGACAUAGUGACCUACGAGACAGACAGAGGUUGCGCUGGAACCAAGGUGGCUGAGAAUACCGACAAGCUGGUACUGGUGUCCGACUGGCUGCCCUUCCCACGUCUCGGAAACCACCGUCUCCGCCUGAAGGGAAAACUCACCAUGAACUUCAUCUACCUCUAAGGC